rnacentral:rRNA from 1 species
GUACACGCUUGACUAGCAUAUCAAUAAGCGGAGGAAAAGAAACUAACAAGGAUUCCCCUAGUAACGGCGAGUGAAGCGGGAAGAGCUCAAAUUUGAAAUCUUAAAGGGUUUCCCUUUACGAAUUGUAGUUUAAAGAAGUGUUUUCUGUUGAGGUUUUGGUAAAAGUUCUUUGGAAUAGGACAUCAUAGAGGGUGAGAAUCCCGUAUUUGACCUUUACUUUCAACUUUGUGAUACACUUUCAAAGAGUCGGAUUGUUUGGGAAUGCAGUCCAAAAUGGGUGGUAAAUUUCAUCUAAAGCUAAAUAUUGGCGAGAGACCGAUAGCGAACAAGUACCGUGAGGGAAAGAUGAAAAGAACUUUGAAAAGAGAGUUAAACAGUACGUGAAAUUGUCAAAAGGGAAGCGUUUGACACCAGUGUUGUUUUUCUGAAAAUCAAUUAAAGAACUGUUUAUGCUAAGCUUGUUUAGACUUUAUCAGCUAUCUGUUUAGUUUUGAGCUUUUCUUUAAUGCACUUUUCAGUUAACAAGUCAACAUCAAUUUCUUUUGCUGUAAAAAAGCUUGAGGAAGGUGGCUUGAGAUUCGUCUUAAGUGUUUAUAGCCUCUUGCCUAUGCAGUCGGAGAGAUUGAGGUCUGCAGCGUAGAUCCUUCGGGGCUAAAUGCAUUUGUGCUAAGUUAUAGCAUUUCAUAGACAACUUGUUGACUAUGAUUUGUCUUGUAGCUUACUCGCUUAUGUUAUUUUACCUACGCUUAGGAUGUUGACUGAUAUGUAGUCGUA